UACGGGGGGAGCAAGCGUUGUCCGGAAUUAUUGGGCGUAAAGAGCGUGUAGGCGGUCCGGUAAGUCAGCUGUGAAAGUCAAGGGCUCAACCCUUGAAAGCCGGUUGAUACUGUCGGGCUAGAGUCCGGAAGAGGCGAGUGGAAUUCCCGGUGUAGCGGUGAAAUGCGCAGAUAUCGGGAGGAACACCAAUGGCGAAGGCAGCUCGCUGGGACGGUACUGACGCUGAGACGCGAAAGCGUGGGGAGCAAACAGG
rnacentral:rRNA from 1 species